rnacentral:misc_RNA from 1 species
AAGUCGUAACAAGGUAUCCGUAGGUGAACCUGCGGAUGGAUCAUUACAAAUUUUAGCUCUCGCAGCUAUCAUUGACCACUUGUGAACUGCGGUGUCGGCCUCGCACCAAUUCAUUACCGUUUCAAUCAAAUCUGCUUAUAGAAUAGCAUAAAACUUUUAGCAACGGAUCUCUAGGCUCUC